GGAGAUCAGCUCCAAGGGGACCUGAAAAAACCAAGAACAAAACAGGCGCCAGCUCUGACACUCCUCCAGUUACAGACCCCUACACCGAGUUCAUUUAAGAGAAAGGGAGGCCAUAAAACAGAGGACAGAAAGAGAGUGAUUGUGCACGGUGCAGAGAUGCAGCUUUAACUCUAUCACCAUACCAACACAGCUGUGUUUGGUGGGAGUUACUGUAUAUAGCUGUUAGAGAAACUGCCAAACUGCCAAAUGAAUUGAGUCUUCGUUCACUAAGGCUGGAGGGGGAGACACACAGAGGGACAGAAAGAAGAAAUGCAGCCAUCUCCAGUUCCAAUUGAUCUCUGCCAACAUUUCUGCAUAAACACAGGCCACGGGGCCAUUUUGCAAGUUUCAA